ACAAUCCCAAGGACCACAACGGAAAAUUGCAUCAUCCACGUCAGUCUCGAGAAUGGCAAUGGGAAGGUGUACAAA